UAAUGACAGCAGUCAUUCUUCAGUAUUACUUAUGCAAUAGGGGCACAUCGCCCGUCCAAAACCUAUCAUCUCCAUAAUGGAUAUAUGUCCGAUUUUCUAAUUUUCUUUGGUGAAUGAUGUAUAUUGCAUUUAUUCUAGCGUUAGGUAAAUGUAUCUUGAAGGAGAAUUUAAAUAAAAGUCCAACAAGAAUAUUCAUUAAGAAUUAAAAAUAACUCAUCCUGAACUACCAUGAUAGAUAUAAUGUAUGUAAUAAUCAAACUGUUUCUGUCCAAUAAAGCAUGUCAUUAAUGAAGGGGCAAACAUAAACUUUUAUUUGCACACAUCAGAAAUCUUUUGUUUUGAUUUUAGGCUCUCCCCAGACGUUAUGUGAGAAUCGCAAGCAAAACUUUGAAUAGCAAGAAAAGAUUUCUGACAUGCGCAAAUAAGUUUGUUUUGCAAAUAAUUUUUUUAAGUCAUGAGUUAAAAAAUUGUAAUUUCAGUUUUUACAAAAAAAUUAAGUUAAACAUUUUUGUGUUGAAAAAAAUGUUACAAUUCAAAAUGUCUUGAUUACAAUUUUAUAUUAUUUAAUUGAGGUUAGUAUUUUAAUUGAAUAAUUGUGAAACAAAUUGAACUCCAUAGGAGAGGUCUCAUUUUCUCAGAAAUUAAUAUUGUUAUGCUAUGGACUGAAAAACAUAUUGGUUUAAACACAAGGGUAAAGAAUUGGUAGUGUGGUUUAUUAUAGUGUUCUGAUCAUAAUUCUUUGUUUUGCUUUUUUCAGUUCAAAGACGCCACGUAAAGAGAGACGUCAGAAACAAAAAACAAAGGCAGUGGAUUGUUGACCAACUAGGUCAACUGUACCAAUCAUUCACAGUGAAGUUAUUAACAUUCUUCAAGACAUGACCAACAGAAAACUGCUGCUAUGAACAAAAGAACAAAAACAGCAAAAAAUGCUUAAAAGUUUGAAAUUUGUUUUUAAACAGUUAAAAGGCAAGAGACUGAAAUAAAUAAGACUUCACUCAACACAGAGAAGAUGAGACAAUGAGGAAAAAAAGAAGAGAAACUGACAAGAAAAAAAGAAGAGGAAAGAUUGAAGAAAAUGUACAUAGUUCCACGUUAAAGUUUGAUGCAGCUCUGUUUUUCUGAAUGGACCGUCUUCAUCUCCACUGCAAGUACAGCAACCCAAGCAGAUGUUCUUUGAUUGUAUGUCUCACAAUUUUGUAAUCUAUCAUUGUUAAUUAAACUCUGAGAGCUGUGUGA